CUAAAUACUCCUGACUGACCGAUAGUGAACCAGUACCGUGAGGGAAAGGCGAAAAGAACCCCGGCGAGGGGAGUGAAAAAGAACCUGAAACCGUGUACGUACAAGCAGUGGGAGCACGCUUAGGCGUGUGACUGCGUACCUUUUGUAUAAUGGGUCAGCGACUUAUAUUCUGUAGCAAGGUUAACCGAAUAGGGGAGCCGAAGGGAAACCGAGUCUUAACUGGGCGUUAAGUUGCAGGGUAUAGACCCGAAACCCGGUGAUCUAGCCAUGGGCAGGUUGAAGGUUGGGUAACACUAACUGGAGGACCGAACCGACUAAUGUUGAAAAAUUAGCGGAUGACUUGUGGCUGGGGGUGAAAGGCCAAUCAAACCGGGAGAUAGCUGGUUCUCCCCGAAAGCUAUUUAGGUAGCGCCUCGUGAAUUCAUCUCCGGGGGUAGAGCACUGUUUCGGCAAGGGGGUCAUCCCGACUUACCAACCCGAUGCAAACUGCGAAUACCGGAGAAUGUUAUCACGGGAGACACACGGCGGGUGCUAACGUCCGUCGUGAAGAGGGAAACAACCCAGACCGCCAGCUAAGGUCCCAAAGUCAUGGUUAAGUGGGAAACGAUGUGGGAAGGCCCAGACAGCCAGGAUGUUGGCUUAGAAGCAGCCAUCAUUUAAAGAAAGCGUAAUAGCUCACUGGUCGAGUCGGCCUGCGCGGAAGAUGUAACGGGGCUAAACCAUGCACCGAAGCUGCGGCAGCGACGCUGAUGCGUUGUUGGGUAGGGGAGCGUUCUGUAAGCCUGUGAAGGUGUGCUGUGAGGCAUGCUGGAGGUAUCAGAAGUGCGAAUGCUGACAUAAGUAACGAUAAAGCGGGUGAAAAGCCCGCUCGCCGGAAGACCAAGGGUUCCUGUCCAACGUUAAUCGGGGCAGGGUGAGUCGACCCCUAAGGCGAGGCCGAAAGGCGUAGUCGAUGGGAAACAGGUUAAUAUUCCUGUACUUGGUGUUACUGCGAAGGGGGGACGGAGAAGGCUAUGUUGGCCGGGCGACGGUUGUCCCGGUUUAAGCGUGUAGGCUGGUUUUCCAGGCAAAUCCGGAAAAUCAAGGCUGAGGCGUGAUGACGAGGCACUACGGUGCUGAAGCAACAAAUGCCCUGCUUCCAGGAAAAGCCUCUAAGCAUCAGGUAACAUCAAAUCGUACCCCAAACCGACACAGGUGGUCAGGUAGAGAAUACCAAGGCGCUUGAGAGAACUCGGGUGAAGGAACUAGGCAAAAUGGUGCCGUAACUUCGGGAGAAGGCACGCUGAUAUGUAGGUGAAGUCCCUCGCGGAUGGAGCUGAAAUCAGUCGAAGAUACCAGCUGGCUGCAACUGUUUAUUAAAAACACAGCACUGUGCAAACACGAAAGUGGACGUAUACGGUGUGACGCCUGCCCGGUGCCGGAAGGUUAAUUGAUGGGGUCAGCGCAAGCGAAGCUCUUGAUCGAAGCCCCGGUAAACGGCGGCCGUAACUAUAACGGUCCUAAGGUAGCGAAAUUCCUUGUCGGGUAAGUUCCGACCUGCACGAAUGGCGUAAUGAUGGCCAGGCUGUCUCCACCCGAGACUCAGUGAAAUUGAACUCGCUGUGAAGAUGCAGUGUACCCGCGGCAAGACGGAAAGACCCCGUGAACCUUUACUAUAGCUUGACACUGAACAUUGAGCCUUGAUGUGUAGGAUAGGUGGGAGGCUUAGAAGUGUGGACGCCAGUCUGCAUGGAGCCGACCUUGAAAUACCACCCUUUAAUGUUUGAUGUUCUAACGUUGACCCGUAAUCCGGGUUGCGGACAGUGUCUGGUGGGUAGUUUGACUGGGGCGGUCUCCUCCUAAAGAGUAACGGAGGAGCACGAAGGUUGGCUAAUCCUGGUCGGACAUCAGGAGGUUAGUGCAAUGGCAUAAGCCAGCUUGACUGCGAGCGUGACGGCGCGAGCAGGUGCGAAAGCAGGUCAUAGUGAUCCGGUGGUUCUGAAUGGAAGGGCCAUCGCUCAACGGAUAAAAGGUACUCCGGGGAUAACAGGCUGAUACCGCCCAAGAGUUCAUAUCGACGGCGGUGUUUGGCACCUCGAUGUCGGCUCAUCACAUCCUGGGGCUGAAGUAGGUCCCAAGGGUAUGGCUGUUCGCCAUUUAAAGUGGUACGCGAGCUGGGUUUAGAACGUCGUGAGACAGUUCGGUCCCUAUCUGCCGUGGGCGCUGGAGAACUGAGGGGGGCUGCUCCUAGUACGAGAGGACCGGAGUGGACGCAUCACUGGUGUUCGGGUUGUCAUGCCAAUGGCACUGCCCGGUAGCUAAAUGCGGAAGAGAUAAGUGCUGAAAGCAUCUAAGCACGAAACUUGCCCCGAGAUGAGUUCUCCCUGACUCCUUGAGAGUCCUGAAGGAACGUUGAAGACGACGACGUUGAUAGGCCGGGUGUGUAAGCGCAGCGAUGCGUUGAGCUAACCGGUACUAAUGAACCGUGAG
rnacentral:rRNA from 1 species